CAGUCGCCGCGGUAAUACGUAGGGUGCAAGCGUUGUCCGGAAUUAUUGGGCGUAAAGAGCUCGUAGGCGGUUUGUCGCGUCUGCUGUGAAAACGCGAGGCUCAACCUCGCGCCUGCAGUGGGUACGGGCAGACUAGAGUGUGGUAGGGGAGAUUGGAAUUCCUGGUGUAGCGGUGGAAUGCGCAGAUAUCAGGAGGAACACCGAUGGCGAAGGCAGAUCUCUGGGCCAUUACUGACGCUGAGGAGCGAAAGCGUGGGGAGCGAACAGGAUUAGAUACCCCGGUAGUCCCUGUCUCUUAUAC
rnacentral:rRNA from 1 species